AGACUAUUAUGACUUCACUUGCAAAAUUACGUUCUAUUUGACUUUGGCAGUCCCCAAUAGCUACUGACGCACUACGUUUUAACAACAUCCACGCGGCAGUUAAAGGGUUAAAUCACAAAAGCUCCAGUCUCUUGCCGAGUUAGAGUGUCCUCUGGUGUCCUCGUUAUCAGCCUGAAACUUGCCGAGAUUGCGUGAUCUCCUCCAAUCAGGACCAUGACGACCCGAGCGGUGCUGGUCUUCACGCUGGCUCUAUCGAAUCGAGUGAACUCCCAGUGCAUUUCACAGAACGACUGGCUGGCCUCCGCCCGCUACCCCGCACCUCGGCCACAUCACGCCCUUUAGCACCCGGCUCUUCAGGGAGAUUGUCCCUCCGUCAGGAAACUUCUUCUUCUCGCCCUUCGGCAUCUGGAGGGCCUUUGUCCUGACGUAUUUCGGGUCGAGUGGCAACACGCAGCUGCAACUAGAGCAGGUUCUCCGGCUGAACGGCAAAGCACAGACUCUGGCUUUGCACAAGGCACUGACUAACCAUUACAACUCGCCACACGCCGCCUCGAGUUACAUCAUCGCCAACAGGAUCUAUAUAGACUACUAUUUGCCAGUUCGUGGAUGCGUGACAAGUCUUUUCUCCACGGAAUUGCAGGCUUUGGACUUCCUGCAG
rnacentral:lncRNA from 1 species